GUUGUGAGGUGACUGUGUCCGAGCAGACUUUGGUUCCACACAUUCUCUGUCUCUGUCAUGCUCUCUCGCUGCACAGCUCUCUCCUUUCGUUUUCUUUGCCCCUUUUGUUUUGGUGUGGAGAGAUAGCCGAAAGAGGAACACUAGACAAAACAGCUGAAAGAAGCAAGAAAAUGAAGAGAAGAAAAUGAACAGACUAACUUUGCCUCAGAAACAGUGGAUCUGAAGGGACUAACUUCAAAAGAAAGGCAAGAGGGAGCUGGUGUGAAGUAUGAGCAGGAAGGAGAGAUGAGAAACCCGUGGUCUUCUGAUAAGGGCGUGAGCGGCAAAGAACACCGAAUCUGCCUCGGAGGACGUUGUGGAAUGACUGGUGUUCUCUCCUGUGUGGACUGUGGCUUGGUCUAACCCCCCUGAGGACUGGACAAUGACCGCAUGCGGGGGAAAAAACACUUCCCAUAUUCUGAAAAGUGCGCAAGGCUGCAUAUGAAAAUACAAAACAGUACUCAUCGCAUUACAGUUGCAGUACUCUGUCCCAAACUUUGUGAUGGAUUACUAUGAAAAAAAACGGAACAUUUAUGAAACACACACAACAAAGAGUCGGACGAAAGCUCUGGAGCGAGGGAUUGACAGAGAGAGAAAAGAAGAAGAGAAGCGUGGCGGCGAUUUGGCAGCUGCCCGGUGCCCAGCUGCAUUGGAAAAAUCCUGCCGCCUUUUCCUUUGCGGUGGUUCCCUCCCAGAGUGGUUUGUUUGGGGGACUGGUAUCCUGGGUGGGUGUCUAGCUACGCUCCCCCGCGGCAGAGCUGGCUGCUGGGGCUGUGACUGUGGCUGUACCUCCUGGGGAGCUGAGGAAUGGAGGUCUGGCCACAGUGAGUUCUCCCUCUCUCUCUCACAUUGUCCCCUAUCCCCUUAACCGGUAGCUGAACUGCCAAAACCUCCACCUUAUCAUAUACCCCUUCAUUCUGUCUCUCGCUCAUCCCCCUUGUCCAGCUCUCCACUGGGUAAAGAUAGUUUUUAAUUACCUCUUACCUGUCAGUUGUUACUAAGUGCUUUUUAAGUGCAUGUUUCCCUUAAAUUGAGUGUUAAAAUGUAGUGUUAGAGCCGUUCACCUAUAGGGGCCGUGGGUCUAAAGACUGCAUCCACACAACCACCAGUCACACACAGAUGCACGAUGUGACAGUUUGGAUCGUUUAUAUUGUUUUUGUGCGUCAGGACUUUUACCAAAAGAAUACACAACUAUGAAGGAUAGCUCAACCUUUGGAAGCAAAGCCCACUUCCUCCUAUCAUUUCCUGACUCUGUCUGUGACUUGAUUUUAUUGCUGUAGACGUUCAUAACUUGAAGGACAGAGCUAAAAUACUUAACUGAUAUAUUUACAGAGCCGAAGGUUUUGGUACUGACUCAAAUUGUUCUGAAUUGAAUGACAUGUUUCAACAAAUAAUACAUGUUUGUUUUACUGAUGAAAAAUGGUUUUUAAAAAGUGAGAGAAUUUGAUGGUGCAGUUCAUUUGGAUAGUCUGGUGGCUGUUUGUUCUUGAUAAGCUGCUGUUGUUUUUGUUUCUCAAUUUUGACUGUGCUUUAAAAAACUGUUUUUAAGUUCUACUCCCACAAUAAUGAAACUAUACUGUGGCAUUACAGCUGUCAUCUGAAGCUAGUAUAAUGUCUUUUCAAUCUCCUAUAUUUCAGCUACAGAAAUGUAAAAUAGACCAUCUAAGCAACUUUGUAACUCACCCUAUCGUCUUAGUCAGCAGAUUUAAAAUGUAUUAAAUAAUUAUCAGGA